UUGACGUGAAAAUGACAGAAAUGUCAGGAUAGAUUAUCUCAACAUAUCAUGUAAUAUCGUGGCAUAUCGGAUAUUAUUAAGACGUCACGCCAGAACUGAUUCUGGUCUUGUUGACAAAGUUUCUACCACAUGUCAUAAUUUAUGCUACGCUUACCUAAAUUUACUAUGUGGUACGUCUUUAUGUAGUCACAGUAAGGCGACAUGCCAUUAUGUAACGUAUCAUGUUACUUAAAUAUAAGUCGACUUGCCAUUUGAUUAACAUGGUUUUGCUUCCUAAAUUUAAACGAGAAAAUUACAAGAUGAAAAUGUCAACUUACACGAACACAAAAGGUAACAUACAGUACCGAGUAUUUCUUGAAUCCGUGUGUGUUCCAGGCGGACGGACGUGUCUAUUUCGGUACGUUUAUACAAUAUUAUAUAAAUUAAAAUAAUAAUUCACGAUUUUUUAAUUGAAUUAAUUUGUAACCAUGAAUAGAGUAAAAUAUAAACAUCAGUUAAGAGUGCUAAGAGUGUAGUAACAUAGGUAUUUGUAAGAAAAGACAGAGGCCUUUCCUUUUGGUCACGUAUUCAGACUUCUAGACCCGGGGUUGAAGGGUGCAGUUACCGGACCACUGGGCACCCUACAUGUAUUUUUUCAAGAUAGGCUUCUGUAGUCUUGUUUAUCUGAUAGAAUUGCACACUCCUUUGUUAAGUUCAGGGUCGUGGGUUCGAGCCCAACUUGGAUAGCGGCCAUGGCUUCUCAGGUGGCACGUACAGUACCAGCUGGUAGGAACUACAUUUUGGACUACUUUACUACGCUUGCUAUUAUCAGUUUUUCCUCCCUUUGCAGACGUUUUCCAUUUGCAUUCGUGACGGGAGAAUGGACGAGAUGGAAGGUCCUUGUGCUAAAUUUAGUAAAGGUUCUUGUGCUGAAUUUAGUAAAACAGAGACCACCAGAGGAAGUGGUGAGAGACUGUCAAUGAUGUACUGAACGAGCACGGAGGAAAAACAACAUAGUCAAAUGGGGGUUUGUCAUAAGCCUAACUUGUGCUUUGAUAGAGAGCCUACAGGAUAUUUUCAUCAAUGUUACCUUACCGCCUGUAUACCUUGUACACUAGACCCGCCCGCUUAGCUCAGUAGGUAGAGCGUCGGUCUACGGAUCGCGGGGUCGUGAGUUCGAUCCUCGGGCUGGGCGUAUGUUCUCCGUGACUAUUUGAUAAACGACAUUGUGUCUGAAAUCGUUAGUCCUCCUCCUCUGAUUCAUGUGGGGAAGUUGGCAGGUACUUGCGGAGAACAGAUUUGUACUGGUACAGAAUCCAGGAACACUGGUUAGGUUAACUGCCCGCCGUUACAUGACUGAAAUACUGUUGAAAAACGGCGUUAAACCCAAAACAAACAAAAAAAACCUUGUACACUACAUGUUUUUAAAAACAAUGUAGGAAGAAAUACCCUAAAUGUGGGAGUAAAAUUGAAGCUGUCAGAAACGUUUACAACUAGAAAGUAUUUGAUAAUAUAAUAGCAAUUCUGACAUGAUUACAAUCAGGUAGAUACUUAAGAGCGGAAAGCAUUUUAAGUUGAACUGUUUACUUCUUUCAUUGUAGGACACAAUUGAGAAUUGAUAACAUGCUUCUUGAAUUUGGAAUAUUAGAAACCCAUGCGUCUCUGAAAUUUAUUUAUACUGUGAACAGUACUGGAUAUAAAGGCAACAUCAAUGUUAAGUUACUGACAUCUCAUUUUUAGCUCGACUAUUCGAAGAAUAAGGGAGCUGUCCUACUCGCCCCGGCGUCGGCGUGAGCGUAAGCGUUAGCGUUAGCGUGAGCGUCACACAAAUGUUAAAGUUUGCGUACCACCUCAAAUAUUUUCAAAGUCCAUUGAGAUAUUGCUUUCAUAUUUUGCAUACUUGUUUACCAUCAUGAUCCCAGUCUGUAAAAAGGAGAAGGCAACUUUAUCAAGCAUUUUGACUGAAUUAUGGCCCCUUUUCGACUUAGAAUAAAUGUUAAAGCUUGCGUACCACCCCAAAUAUUUUCAAAGUCCAUUGAGAUAUUGUUUUCAUAUUUUGCAUACUUGUUUACCAUCAUGACCCCAGUCUGUAAAAAGGAGGAGGCAACUCUAUCGAGCAUUUUGACUGAAUUACGGCCCCUGUUCGACUUAGAAUAUGCUAAUUGUAAUGUUAAAGUUUUACUCAUUGCUUAUAUUAAUCAAGCACUGAGAAUAGUCGAGCGCACUGUCCACUGACAGCUCUUGUUAUAUAACGUUGAACCAGCUAUAAAGAUUCAACCAUGGCUACAUCUUGUAUCUACUAAUUUACAGGACAUUUUUCUUUGUUUAUAUUGUACAUAGUGCCACGUACAUGAAAAACCUGUAAAGAUACAUAUGAAGAUUUGUAUUUGUUUCCUAAUAUUUGCUGUAUUAGGUAUAGGCAAUAUCUAUAAUGUUAAGUUUGUUUUUGAAUCAUAAUAUAUCAGGUGAACAAGAGUAAAAGUUGAGUAAAAGUCUCCCUGUACAUGGACGUAGUGUUGUUA